ACUACAAAACCAAAAAAAAAAAAAAAAAAAGUAUGCAUGUUAAAAUUUGGAGGCAACUAGGUCCUGUUGCUGCAGAACAUGCUUAAUGAUUUUAACCUUCCUCAAAACACUAUCGAGGGUACAGCUCGGAGUUCGAAACUUCGUUUAUGGACUGCUGGACGCCUUCAUUUAACCUUGAAGUUGAAUCUCUUGACGAUGAUGCCUCUAUCCUUAAUUCACUGUGCAUAAAAAAUGCAGGUUUUGAGGGAACUGGUAGAGUAAUAGAGUAGGUACUGAGCAUGGUAACAACUUGAGCCAUUGUUGGUCGAUUAGCUUCAUGUUCUUGAACACAAAGUAAUCCAAUGUGGAUGCAUCUCAUCAUCUCACUUCUCGAUCCAACUGUCAGGGUGGGAUCUAUCAAAUUUAAAGCUGUUCCUUCAUUCCAAUUUCUCCAACUAUAUGUUAGAAGGUCCUCUUCAUCCUCUCCAAUACCAACGCCACUGUUCUUUUGGCCGCUUGCAAUUUCCAAAACUAAGACACCAAAGCUAAAAACAUCUGACUUGACAGAGAAGCGUCCAUGGGUUACAUACUCUGGAGCCAUAUAUCCGAAGGUCCCCACAACUCUACUUGUUUGUUCUUGCGUUUGAUCUAUUGCAAAUAAUCUUGCCAUGCCAAAAUCUGCGAUCUUUGCAUUCAUCUCUUCAUCUAAUAAAAUGUUACCAGCUUUGAGAUCACGGUGAAUAAUCCGAAGUCGAGAAUCUUCAUGAAGGUAAAGAAGACCUCGAGCAAUGCCUGAGAUAAUUUUGUAGCGUGUCUCCCAAUCCAAAUGUGCUCUCUUGACUGGGUCAAAUAUGAAGUUGUUGAGGCUGGAGUUAGGCACAAACUCAUAGACAAGAAGCCUUUCUUCCCUUUCAAAGCAGAAACCCAGUAGUCUAACCAAAUUCUUGUGCUGAAGCUUGGCCACCAAUAUGACCUCAUUCUUAAAUUCUAGUUCUCCCUGUGCUGAUUCCCUGGACAACCUCUUCACAGCUAUAUCUUGUCCAUUGGGAAGCCUACCCUUGUACACAGUCCCAAAUCCACCCUGUCCAAGCUUAUUAGCUUCUGAGAAGUCAUUUGUUGCUAUUCUCACAGUGCCAAAGUCAAAUUGCAAGGAUUCCGCAUCUCCAAUUUCAUAAUCAUCUAUAGCUUUGAAUUCUUCCUUUUUGUUCCUUGCUUUAUAGAAGAUGAAUAGGCAAAUUGUAAGAAUUGCAGAAAUUGCUAUUGCGACAACUACAAUGAUGACAGUACGUGAUUCUUUUCUCUUCCUUCCUGUUGAAGUUGAUCCUGGAGGUGGAGGUGAUGGGGGCGGAAUAUUCUCAGGAGUGUAGAAACGGUCUGUCUCAUAUCUGAAAUUACAGCUUGGGAAGAUAACUCUUCCUCCACUUCUAACCUCACAACACUGUGGAAUAAGUCCUGAAGCAUUAUACAGGCAAUCUCUGCAUUCAGACUCGGUUAAAUCAGGGGUACACUGUACAAGUGCAUAUAUGGUUUGAAAGUUGGGGGCAGCAAUUUGGUCCAUUGCGUACUUGUAAGGAGAAUUUGCAGCUUUGUCCCGUAGGCUGUCUAACAAGGUCGACCUUGACCGAUUGAACCCGCUUACGUCGGUGACAUUAAUCUCUCUAUACACCCAAAAGUAAGGUACCUUUUCCAUUAGUCUGAAAAUGAAGCGGUUUGCGUAGCGCACCAUACAAUAAUCUUGCUCUUGCACUCCAACAUCUUGCCCUCCAAUGGCCUCCUUAAAGUUUGGACAGAGCGUGAGGAGGGAAUUACUGGCAUUUUUUAUACAGGCACGGCAAGCUUGAGGAGUAAUGCCUGGCCUACAGAGAGCAAUAGCAUUAACA
rnacentral:misc_RNA from 1 species